GGCCACCACGCGGGACAGUCCCCGCUGCCCGCCCGCCUGUCACGUACCAAAGCGCCCGCCGCCAAGCCGCUCUGCGCCCAGCCGAUCGGUUAUGGAUGAAAAAUUGAUCUCUCAAAGAUUCCCCAGAGAGCAAGAUAGACAUGAAAUACCCUGUUGACCAGAUGACAGACGGGCACCGAUUGACCUGACCUCGUCCACGUCUCCGUCCCUCACAUUACCAGAAAUAAGAAACGUCCCUAUGCUGCUGAACAACUCACCGGAGGAAUUUUAUUUUCACAAACGAGAAGGUUUGUGGAAUUCUAGCCUCUGACGGAGCAGAACCGCAGCCCCAUCUGACAAAGUACAGCUGUGCUGAGACGGAUUCAGUUCCCCACACCCUUGGCCAGACAGUUCUCGGGAGACGCCACUGAAUGUCCUCAGGGCUCCCUGUGAAAUGAAAAAUGGCAAAUUUGGGGGUUUUAUUUUCUAUCAUUGUGCCUACAAUUUAUUGAGCAUCUCCCGCGAGCUAAAUCCGUGACAUGUUUCCUCUUGUGAACGAGCAAGCCAACCUGGAGGGAGGCAUUGUUAGCGUCCCCCUUUUUGCCUGGUCGAAGGAGCUGAAGCUCAGAGAGGUUGUGUAAUUUCCCCAAAGUCAGCCAGCCAAAGGGGUUAGAACCCCUGAUGAGGAGGGAAAUCGUCCUAACUGCAGACGUCUGGGUUCAGCCCUGGGACAUUCUGGUUCAGAAGUCUUGGGAGACCCAGAAAUGGUCUGGGCAUUGCAGGCAGCUUCCCAGCCAGGCUUGGGUCACUGGUGGAAACCCUGCAGUUCUGGGUUUAGAUCCAGAGCUCCUCCAGGGUCUGCAUCCUCGCCGUCUCAUUGCUACGUUUCAGAAUUGAGACACAUAUAUCGUGAUGGUCUCUGGUAGCUUGGACGUUUAGGGUAGAAUUUAUUUCUUUAUCAGAUUUGCCUCAGAACUGACAUUUUGAAGAGUGGGCCCUGCCUCUGGUUUGUUUGUUUGUUUUGGUGUUUGUGUUUUUUGGCUUCGUUGGGUCUUAAUUGCUCCGCAGGCUUUCUCUAGUUGCGGUGAGCAGGGGCUACUCUUCGUUGCGGUGCGCAGGUUUCUCGUUGUGGUGGCUUCUCUUGUAGCGGAGCACGGGCUCUAGGCGCGCAGGCUUCAGUAGUUGUGGCGCAUGGGCUUAGUUGCUCCGCGGCAUGUGGGAUCUUCCCGGACCGGGAAUCGAAUCCGUGUCCCCUGCAUCGGCAGGUGGACUCUCAACCACUGCGCCACCAGGGAAGUCCCUGCAUUUUAUCUGACAUUAACCAACUUAGCCAUGGUUUACUCACCACUCACUUCACGUAUUUAAGGUUUUUCUUGAGGAGACUAAGUCUCUUCAAAGCUGAGUCAUGCUUCACAUCACCCAUGAGUGUCCAGCAUCUUCCAGAAUCUGGGUCAUGGGGUCCAUCCAUGCCGUGUGUAUAUCCCGACCACCAGAUACACCAUACAUGGGGCUCGAUACUGAAUUAAAGAUUAGGUGACCAAUCAAUGAGUCUUUGGGUUCCUGACCAAA